GAUGAACGUUGGCGGCAUGGAUUAGGCAUGCAAGUCGAGCGAGAAGCUUUAGUUUGACGCUUCGGUUGAUUUCUAAAGUGGACAGCGGCGCAAGGGAGAGUAACGCGUAGUUAUCUACCCUAGGGUCCGGAAUAGCCUCGGGAAACUGAGGGUAAUACCGGAUAAUAUCCCCGGAUCAAAGGUGUGAUUCCGCCCUAGGAGGAGACUGCGUACUACUAGCUUGUUGGUGGGGUAAUGGCCUACCAAGGCUCUGAUGGUUAGCGGGCGUGAGAGCGUGGCCCGUCUCACUGGGACUGAAACACUGCCCAGACACCUACGGGUGGCUGCAGUCGAGAAUCUUCGGCAAUGGGCGAAAGCCUGACCGAGCGAUGCCGCGUGCGGGAUGAAGGCCCUCGGGUUGUAAACCGCUGUCAGUUGGGAGGAAGGGUCCGUGAAGAGCGGAUCUUGACCUAUCUUCAGAGGAAGUCCGGGCUAAGUUCGUG
rnacentral:rRNA from 1 species